UGCCUGCACCCCGAAGCCUGGGGGCGCGCUGAGCUCAGCGCCCCCCAGGCUUCGGGGUGCAGGCAGC